CCCGCGACUCGGCGAGAAGUCCAUUGAACCUUAUCAUUUAGAGGAAGGAGAAGUCGUAACAAGGUUUCCGUAGGUGAACCUGCGGAAGGAUCAUUG
rnacentral:rRNA from 31 species